rnacentral:rRNA from 1 species
GGGCCCGCACAAGCGGCGGAGCAUGCGGAUUAAUUCGAUGCAACGCGAAGAACCUUACCAAGGCUUGACAUAUAGAGGAAAAGUGCAGAAAUGCACUCCCCGCAAGGUCUCUAUACAGGUGGUGCAUGGUUGUCGUCAGCUCGUGUCGUGAGAUGUUGGGUUAAGUCCCGCAACGAGCGCAACCCUCGUCCUAUGUUGCCAGCACGUAAUGGUGGGAACUCAUGGGAUACUGCCGGGGUCAACUCGGAGGAAGGUGGGGAUGACGUCAAAUCAUCAUGCCCCUUAUGUCUUGGGCUUCACGCAUGCUACAAUGGCCGGUACAGAGGGCUGCAAUACCGCAAGGUGGAGCGAAUCCCAAAAAGCCGGUCUCAGUUCGGAUUGCACUCUGCAACUCGAGUGCAUG